UAUCCAGGACAGAAAUGACAUAGUUUGUU
rnacentral:piRNA from 1 species